rnacentral:rRNA from 1 species
CGCGUAGGUGGUUUGUUAAGCGAGAUGUGAAAGCCCCGGGCUUAACCUGGGAACGGCAUUUCGAACUGGCAAGCUAGAGUGUGGCAGAGGGUAGUGGAAUUUCCUGUGUAGCGGUGAAAUGCGUAGAUAUAGGAAGGAACACCAGUGGCGAAGGCGGCUACCUGGACCAACACUGACACUGAGGUGCGAAAGCGUGGGGAGCAAACA